GAGUAUUCGUAGUGACUGAGGGCUCUUUGAACCAUAGACCCAGUAAAUGCUGAGUCACUGGUUGCUAUUGGGAUUGUCGCCUACUUAUGGGAGAGAAGAAAACACCAGGCCCACAGUUUUCAUCAAAAGGGCGAAUUAUAGCCGCAAACCAACAAGCAACAACUUUUGCCCACCUUAUGAUCAUCAGAGGGCAAAAUCCAGGGGUGCACACUCCAGAAACCUGGACCAGGACUAAACCUAAACAUUUGAGGUUCCUAAUGUUAUUUACAGCUUCCCACUAUAAUGGAGCUUCUGAUUCAACAAUUAGUUUUGUUUAAAUAAAAUACAUUAUGAACACAC